GACGAACGCUGGCGGCGUGCUUAACACAUGCAAGUCGAACGGAAAGGCCCUGCUUUUGUGGGGUGCUCGAGUGGCGAACGGGUGAGUAACACGUGAGUAACCUGCCCUUGACUUUGUGAUAACUUCAGGAAACUGGGGCUAUUACCGGAUAGGAUCUCCUGCUGCAUGGUGGGGGUUGGAAAGUUUCGGCGGUUGGGGAUGGACUCGCGGCUUCUCAGCUUGUUGGUGGGGUAGUGGCUUACCAAGGCUUUGACGGGUAGCCGGCCUGAGAGGGUGACCGGCGACAUUGGGACUGAGAUACGGACCAGAAUCCUACGGGAGGCAGCAGUGGGGAAUAUUGCACAAUGGGCGGAAGCCUGAUGCAGAAACGCAGCGUGCGGGAUGACGGCCUUCGGGUUGUAAACCGCUUUCGCAUGUGACGAAGCGUGAGUGACGGUAAUGGGUAAAGAAGCACCGGCUAACUACGUG
rnacentral:rRNA from 1 species